AAGUGCCGAGAAACCUGGAAAAUAUCUCUCGUGUACCCGGAUAAUAGGAUAUCAGAGGAGGAUGUAACAGAAGCUUUGGCAGGUCACAUGAUUGUAGCACUGUGUCCACACACUCCACAUGCAAACAAGGGCCCUGUACCAAGUCACAGCAAGAUUUAUACACUGAAUUAUUACAAUGAAACUAGAAAUAUGGGUCACCAAUGGACUGAUUUCUACAGACUGGCCGCUGCUUCCACUUUAACUGUUCAAGAACCAGCCCCAGUGCACUAGACAGGAGCAUGCAGAAGCAUUUGAAGCAAGAGAGAGGAGAAUCAGGCACCUGGAAGAGGAAUUAAGGCAGCUAGAGAGGAAAUUUGUAAGCUGAAAGCAAGACAUGUCAGCAAUAACUUCAUGGAGCAGGAUAAUUCAUGAAAUUAGAAAAAAUAAAAAAAUUCUAAUUAUGGGUCCCACAGAUUCUGUGUAUGAAGCUAGUUAAGUUCAACUGAACAACAAAUUCAGUAUGCUGACAACAGAUGCACUGGAAACUGAUCAGCAACUGUGAAUUUUGCAACAAGAAUUCGAAAUUCCUCGAGUACAGCAAUUGAUAAUAUUUUUAUAGAUAGGGCAAGGUUAAGCUCUUCUUCUACAUCUUCUACACUCAAUGGCCUCUCAGACCACGAUGCUCAACUCCUCACGAGUGGCUAACCUCACCUCAGCUCUCUUGGAAGAUGCAACGAUCUGCUAAGGGUCUCACUGUAGCCUAGCGUCAGCAACAGGUACAGUGCCUCCAUCUCUGCUCUUGCUCCAGUCCCAGGAGUGUCAUGGCAGCCCAACUGAACUUCAUCAUAAAGCACAAGGAGUUGCUUCAGACAUUCCAGUAAGUGAGUGCGAUUGAUGGUUGGAUCAAACUUUGAUAGGGGCUCUGCACAAAGUCUGAAACACAUUGUGUGACUCCUCAGUCAUUCUGAAACUCCAGACUAUUAAGCAGGGCAGUUCAGUUGUUCUGCAUAUUGGCUGUUAUAAGGGUAGUUCAUCUGCAUGGGGUCAGCCUGAUUUUCCUUUUUGGUCUAGCACAUGGCACUGUCAGUAGGUGGACCAUAUCGCAUUGAAUGGUAGGAUGACAAAUGGACUGGAAAGAAUCUUGAAGGAAAGGGUCAUACCAUUAUCAAGGUAUUAUCCUGGGAUUUACAUGGAGGGGCUAAGGAAAACAAUGAAGUACUGACGCUGAUCAUUCUGAGCCCUUAUUUAUUUGGAUGAUUAUAGAUGACC